GAUGAACGCUAGCGAUAGGCCUAACACAUGCAAGUCGAGGGGCAGCAUAGAGUAGCAAUACUUUGAUGGCGACCGGCGCACGGGUGAGUAACACGUAUGCAACCUACCUACAUCAGGGGAAUAACCAGGAGAAAUUCGGACUAAUACCGCAUAAUACAGGGAUGCAGCAUGGCAAUAUUUGUUAAAGAUUUAUCGGAUGUAGAUGGGCAUGCGUUCCAUUAGCUAGUUGGUAAGGUAACGGCUUACCAAGGCAACGAUGGGUAGGGGAACUGAGAGGUUUGUCCCCCACACUGGAACUGAGGCACGGACCAGACUCCUACGGGAGGCAGCAGUGAGGAAUAUUGGUCAAUGGACGAGAGUCUGAACCAGCCAAAUCGCGUGAAGGAAGACUGCCCUACGGGUUGUAAACUUCUUUUGUACAGGAAUAAAAGACAUUACGUGUAAUGUAUUGCAUGUACUGUACGAAUAAGCAUCGGCUAACUCCGUGCCAGCAGCCGCCGUAA
rnacentral:rRNA from 1 species